rnacentral:rRNA from 1 species
UACGUAGGGGGCGAGCGUUGUCCGGAGUUACUGGGCGUAAAGCGCGUUCAGGCGGUUUGGCAAGUCGGGCAUGAAAUCCUUCGGCUCAACCGGGGGAGGUUGUCCGAUACUGCUGAACUGGAGGGCAGUAGAGGGUGGUGGAAUUCCGGGUGUAGUGGUGAAAUGCGUAGAGAUCCGGAGGAACACCAGUGGCGAAAGCGGCCACCUGGACUGCACCUGACGCUGAAACGCGAAAGCUAGGGGAGCGAACGGG